ensembl:rRNA 5S_rRNA 5S ribosomal RNA
GCUUACGGCCAUACCACCCUGAACCCGCCCGAUCUCCUCUGAUCUCAGAAGCUACGCAGGGUCGGGCCUGGUUAGUACUUGUAUGGGAGACCACCUGGUAUUACCAGGUGCUAUAAGCU